rnacentral:rRNA from 2 species
AUGGACGAAAGUCUGAUGGAGCAACGCCGCGUGAGUGAAGAAGGGUUUCGGCUCGUAAAACUCUGUUGAUAAAGAAGAACAUAUCUGAGAGUAACUGUUCAGGUAUUGACGGUAUUUAACCAGAAAGCCACGGCUAACUACGUGCCAGCAGCCGCGGUAAUACGUAGGUGGCAAGCGUUGUCCGGAUUUAUUGGGCGUAAAGCGAGCGCAGGCGGUUUUUUAAGUCUGAUGUGAAAGCCUUCGGCUUAACCGAAGAAGUGCAUCGGAAACUGGGAAACUUGAGUGCAGAAGAGGACAGUGGAACUCCAUGUGUAGCGGUGAAAUGCGUAGAUAUAUGGAAGAACACCAGUGGCGAAGGCGGCUGUCUGGUCUGUAACUGACGCUGAGGCUCGAAAGUAUGGGUAGCAAACAGGAUUAGAUACCCUGGUAGUCCAUACCGUAAACGAUGAAUGCUAAGUGUUGGAGGGUUUCCGCCCUUCAGUGCUGCAGCUAACGCAUUAAGCAUUCCGCCUGGGGAGUACGGCCGCAAGGCUGAAACUCAAAGGAAUUGACGGGGGCCCGCACAAGCGGUGGAGCAUGUGGUUUAAUUCGAAGCUACGCGAAGAACCUUACCAGGUCUGGACAUACUAUGCAAAUCUAAGAGAUUAGACGUUCCCUUCGGGGACAUGGAUACAGGUGGUGCAUGGUUGUCGUCAGCUCGUGUCGU